ACAUUCAUUCAUCCACCAUGAAGGCUGUGUGUCUCCUUCUCCUCGUCUCUGUCCUGCUCAUGGGAGCAGCCUUUGUUGCUGAUGCCCAAUGUAGUGGCACUUGUCACAGCGACCGUGACUGCGACCCGUGCCAUGACAACUGCCACAACGGCUACCACUGCUCCAGACGCCCUGAUGAGUCCACUGGACACUGUACCUGCCAUUGAUGGUGAGCUGGGUGUGCAUGCAUGGACGUUUGGGGGUGUAUAUCUGAGACGCUGCUGACCAUCGACGCAGCACCAACAUUACCUACUCCUUGACAUAAUGAUACAAUAAACACAUUUGAAAGCA